rnacentral:rRNA from 1 species
AGCAGUAGCCACGGGAAUACGAAGGGGGCUAGCGUUGCUCGGAAUGACUGGGCGUAAAGGGCGCGUAGGCGGAUUGUUUAGACGGAUGUGAAAUCCCCGGGCUCAACCUGGGAACUGCAUUCGUGACUGGCAAGCUAGAGUAUGGCAGAGGGGGGUGGAAUUCCACGUGUAGCAGUGAAAUGCGUAGAGAUGUGGAGGAACACCGAUGGCGAAGGCAGCCCCCUGGGCCAAUACUGACGCUCAUGCACGAAAGCGUGGGGAGCAAACAGGAUUAGAUACCCCUGUAGUCCCUGUCUCUUAUAC